rnacentral:rRNA from 1 species
GAUGAACGCUGGCGGCGUGCCUAAUACAUGCAAGUCGAGCGAACGGACGAGAAGCUUGCUUCUCUGAUGUUAGCGGCAGACGGGUGAGUAACACGUGGAUAACCUACCUAUAAGACUGGGAUAACUUCGGGAAACCGGAGCUAAUACCGGAUAAUAUUUUGAACCGCAUGGUUCAAAAGUGAAAGACGGUCCUGCUGUCACUUAUAGAUGGAUCCGCGCUGCAUUAGCUAGUUGGUAAGGUAACGGCUUACCAAGGCAACGAUGCAUAGCCGACCUGAGAGGGUGAUCGGCCACACUGGAACUGAGACACGGUCCAGACUCCUACGGGAGGCAGCAGUAGGGAAUCUUCCGCAAUGGGCGAAAGCCUGACGGAGCAACGCCGCGUGAGUGAUGAAGGUCUUCGGAUCGUAAAACUCUGUUAUUAGGGAAGAACAUAUGUGUAAGUAACUGUGCACAUCUUGACGGUACCUAAUCAGAAAGCCACGGCUAACUACGUG